GGAUCUCUUUCUGGAGAUUGCUCCUUUUGGAGUUUUCUAUUGUGAGCCUUGAUCCUUGGAUAUGGCCUGAUGUGUCACAGCACAGCUUGGAGAUGAGAUGUGACACUGUCUUGGAGCUUGAGGUCUGUCUGUCCGGGCCCAGAAAGAUGGAUGGCUUUGCGGUGUUGUUUGAAAGCUGCACUGACCUGCUGAGAUGAGGGAAGAAUCGGAGAAUAUCCUGAGUUGGAGGGAACCUCCCCUGGCGCAGCUCCAUGCCAUCCCCUCAGGCCCUGUCGCUGUCACACAGAGCAGAGCUCAGCGCUGCCCUCCACUCCCUGUGAGGAGCUGCAGCCUCCAUGAGGCCUCCCCUCAGCUCCUCUGCUCUGGGUGAAGAAGAAGAGAAACAGCAAGAAGGAGCCCUGAUGGCGGUGCCAGCACAACAGCAGACAGCAGGGGAGGAAAUCGAGGCGAGCACCCCUGGUGCACAUGUGGAUGGCUGAUGCUGCCAUUUCCUAUUUUUAUCCUGAUUCACCGCUCCUGGGAACAUAAGCCAAGUUUUCUUUUUCUUUCCAAAAAGAACAUUCGGCAGGGUAACAUUCGGCAUCACAAGCUGGCCUUGAGAUGGGGUUUGCUCCGGCUUCCCUGCUGAGCCGCUGCGCACAGCUUGUUUCUAAAACACGGCUCAGGCACUGCUAGUUGCCGUGCUGUCACAGGGGCUGAUCCAGCACAGAACCUGCUUGGCAUUCUUGCGGAGAAAUCACCCAGUGCCGCAACUCACAAUUUAUUAUUGAUUGCAUAUUAAUAUCCAAAAAAGGCAAUAAAAUCCACUGUGUUUUUACAGAUGGAAAAAAAAAAGUACUACAAGCUGAGCGGUGCAAAUCUGGAGAAGUCCUUGGCUGGCGCAGAGCUGUGCGCAGUGCUGCUUCUCCCUUAAUUACAAGCAGUUUAAAACCAUCUCCUUCCUUCAAAGGAGGAUUUUGUUCGGUGUUUGCCUUCGUUUUAAUCUCACGAACGUGAUGCUCUCUUGGAACGCGUCCCUCGCGCUGUAACAGCAAGACGUGCUGCUGCUUUUGUCCCUGCCACUUGGGAAAGGCGCAGCUCCCGCUGCUUGUCCCUGCGGCCAUGGGGCUGUUACUGUCAAUACACCACCCUUUAAAGGGAAAGAAAACAGAACAAAACCCAACAGCAGCCUUUUUCCCCCCCAAGAUUUCCUUUCUUUUUUUUUUUCUCUUGUAUUUAAGCCAGGCUGUGCAAGUGCUUCCUGAAAAUGGGUGAUUUAAAAUGUACUGCGCUGCAUUGUAGAGGAAAGCUCGUUAUUCAGCAUACUAAUUAUUUCUGACUCCCUGUAUUUAUGAAAUGCCGUGUAAUAACUAGCUCACCACAAUGCAAAUAGCACAAAAUCAGUGCCUUUUAUCAUUUUGGCACUUUAGUGCAUAAACAUAUUCCAGAG
ensembl:lncRNA